rnacentral:miRNA from 1 species
UGUAUUUGUGUGUGUGUGUAUGUAUCUAUCUAUCUAUCUAUCUAUAUAUAUAUAGAUAGAUAGAUAGAUAGAUAGAUACAUACACACACACACACACACACG